UCCGGUUGAUCCUGCCGGACCUGACUGCUAUCGGAUUGAUACUAAGCCAUGCGAGUCAUUGUAGCAAUACAAGGCAGACGGCUCAGUAACGCGUAGUCAACCUACCCUAUGGACGGGAAUAACCUCGGGAAACUGAGUAUAAUGCCCGAUAGAACACUAUACCUGGAAUGGUUUGUGUUCCAAAUGAUUUAUUGCCAUAGGAUGGGACUGCGGCCUAUCAGUUUGUUGGUGAGGUAAUGGCCCACCAAGACUAUUACAGGUACGGGCUCUGAGAGGAGUGGCCCGGAGAUGGGUACUGAGACACGGACCCAGGCCCUAUGGGGCGCAGCAGGCGAGAAAACUUUGCAAUGUGCGAAAGCACGACAAGGUUAAUCCGAGUGGUUUCUGCUAAAGGAACCUUUUGACAGUCCUAGAAACACUGUUGAAUAAGGGGUGGGCAAGUUCUGGUGUCAGCCGCCGCGGUAAAACCAGCACCUCAAGUGGUCAGGAUGAUUAUUGGGCCUAAAGCAUCCGUAGCCGGCUCUGUAAGUUUUCGGUUAAAUCUGUACGCUCAACGUACAGGCUGCUGGGAAUACUGCAGGGCUAGGGAGUGGGAGAGGUAGACGGUACUCGGUAGGAAGUGGUAAAAUGCUUUGAUCUAUCGAUGACCACCUGUGGCGAAGGCGGUCUACCAGAACACGUCCGACGGUGAGGGAUGAAAGCUGGGGGAGCAAACCGGAUUAGAUACCCGGGUAGUCCCAGCUGUAAACUAUGCAAACUCAAUGAUGCAUUGACUUAUGGUCAAUGCAGUGUUGCAGGGAAGCCGUUAAGUUUGCCGCCUGGGAAGUACGUACGCAAGUAUGAAACUUAAAGGAAUUGGCGGGGGAGCACCACAAGGGGUGAAGCCUGCGGUUCAAUUGGAGUCAACGCCGGG
rnacentral:rRNA from 1 species